rnacentral:rRNA from 1 species
CACGUAGGGUGCGAGCGUUGUCCGGAAUUAUUGGGCGUAAAGCGCACGUAGGCGGUUCGUUAUGUCGGAUGUGAAAGCCCUUGGCUUAACCGAGGAAGUGCAUCCGAAACUGGCGAGCUAGAGUACGAAAGAGGAUCGCGGAAUUCCCGGUGUAGAGGUGAAAUUCGUAGAUAUCGGGAGGAACACCGGUGGCGAAGGCGGCGAUCUGGGUCGAUACUGACGCGUGAGGUGCGAAAGCGUGGGGAGCAAACAGG